UACGAAGGGGGGCUAGCGUUGCUCGGAAUCACUGGGCGUAAAGCGCACGUAGGCGGCUUUCUAAGUCAGGGGGUGAAAUCCUGGAGCUCAACUCCAGAACUGCCUUUGAUACUGGAGAGCUUUGAGUCCGGGAGAGGUGAGUGGAACUCCGAGUGUAGAGGUGAAAUUCGUAGAUAUUUCGGAAGAACACCAGUGGCGAAGGCGGCUCACUGGACCGGUAUUGACGCUGAGGUGCGGAAAACGUGGGGGACAACAGGG
rnacentral:rRNA from 1 species